rnacentral:rRNA from 1 species
GGGUUGUGAGGUUAAGCGACCAAGCGUACACGGUGGAUGCCCUGGCAGUCAGAGGCGAUGAAGGACGUGCUAAUCUGCGAUAAGCGCCGGUAAGGUGAUAUGAACCGUUAUAACCGGCGAUUUCCGAAUGGGGAAACCCAGUGUGACUCGUCACACUAUCAUUAACUGAAUCCAUAGGUUAAUGAGGCGAACCGGGGGAACUGAAACAUCUAAGUACCCCGAGGAAAAGAAAUCAACCGAGAUUCCCCCAGUAGCGGCGAGCGAACGGGGAGGAGCCCAGAGCCUGAAUCAGCAUGUGUGUUAGUGGAAGCGUCUGGAAAGGCGCGCGAUACAGGGUGACA